rnacentral:rRNA from 1 species
UUCCGUAGGGGGACCUGCGGAGGGAUCAUUACCGAGUUAUACAACUCAUCAACCCUGUGAACAUACCUAUAACGUUGCCUCGGCGGGAACAGACGGCCCCGUAACACGGGCCGCCCCCGCCAGAGGACCCCCUAACUCUGUUUCUAUAAUGUUUCUUCUGAGUAAACAGGCAAAUAAAUUAAAACUUUCAACAACGGAUCUCUUGGCUCUGGCAUCGAUGAAGAACGCAGCGAAAUGCGAUAAGUAAUGUGAAUUGCAGAAUUCAGUGAAUCAUCGAAUCUUUGAACGCACAUUGCGCCCGCCAGUAUUCUGGCGGGCAUGCCUGUUCGAGCGUCAUUACAACCCUCAGGCCCCCGGGCCUGGCGUUGGGGAUCGGCGGAAGCCCCCUGCGGGCACAACGCCGUCCCCCAAAUACAGUGGCGGUCCCGCCGCAGCUUCCAUUGCGUAGUAGCUAACACCUCGCAACUGGAGAGCGGCGCGGCCACGCCGUAAAACACCCAACUUCUGAAUGUUGACCUCGAAUCAGGUAGGAAUACCCGCUGAACUUAAGCAUAUCAAAGGCCGGAGGA